GAUGAACGCUAGCGGCAGGCCUAACACAUGCAAGUCGAGGGAUAAGCCUUCGGGCUGAAACCGGCGCACGGGUGCGUAACGCGUAUACAAUCUGCCUUUCACAUAGGGAUAGCCCGGAGAAAUUUGGAUUAAUACCUAAUGUUAUAUAAGAGUGGCAUCAUUUUUAUAUUAAAGCUUUGGUGGUGAAAGAUGAGUAUGCGUUCUAUUAGCUAGUUGGAGAGGUAACGGCUCCCCAAGGCGACGAUAGAUAGGGGUUCUGAGAGGGAUGUCCCCCACACUGGUACUGAGAUACGGACCAGACUCCUACGGGAGGCAGCAGUGAGGAAUAUUGGACAAUGGUCGGAAGACUGAUCCAGCCAUGCCGCGUGCAGGACGACGGUCCUAUGGAUUGUAAACUGCUUUUGUAAGGGAAGAAUAAGGAGUACGUGUACUUUGAUGACGGUACCUUACGAAUAAGCAUCGGCUAACUCCGUG
rnacentral:rRNA from 1 species